rnacentral:tmRNA from 2 species
GGGGGCGAUAGGCCUCGACGGGGGUUAUGACGUCUAAGUUGCAUGUCGUGGAGUUGUCACCACGUAAAUACGGCACCAAAAACACAAAAGCCAAUAACGAACUGGCAUUCGCAGCUUAAUAAAGCUGUGACGUUUCCCUGGGAAUACCUGCUACCUGGACGAAACGACGACUAGCAGGCUGGUCUGAGGGGAGCGCCCUUGAUCUUCAGGCGAGAUUUAGAGGGAUAGGAACUUGAAAAGCCUUCUUGCCGGCGUUUCCUGUUCCGAGAUCUAAAUAGGCGAGAAAAACAUGUAGACGCUUAGAAUUAGUGCUUCCGGACCCGGGUUCGAUUCCCGGCGCCUCCACCA